rnacentral:lncRNA from 1 species
AGUCAUUCUGAGAACGAGCAGAGGCGGAGAAGGUCAAGAAAACGAGGCCUUGUCUAUUUACCGGCUCUGUAAGGAACUAUUGUGUCUCAGCAGCUGUUCUUCUUGCUCCUUCGGAAGCCCUGCCUGUGAGUAGACGGGAUGGGGUGUGUGACACCGGCAGGCGGGGACCCUGGGGAGGAACGUCUACUACUUUCUGCACCUCAAGAAAGAUGGGCUUUUUGGAGAGAGAGAGAGUGUGUGUGUGUGUGUGUGUGUGUGUCACUGGGAGGGGGAAGGACAGAGGAGAGAAAGAGAAAAAAGUCACAAUCUCCGCGACCUUUCAUUCUGCAUUUUUUUUUAAUGGAGAAAAAAAACUGAAAAAUUUCAGCCAAAGGAAAAGCCGUGAAAUGGUUGAGAAGGACUUUAUGACUAAGAGAGGACUGCGAUGGAAAAUAUGUAAAAAGAGAAGUUAAACCAGCUGGCUUAUUUAAUUUUGGCUUUUCCCCCUCUUUUCAUUUUUUUUUUUUCUUCUUUAGCUUAAACUAGGGAAAAAUGUGCUGUGUAAAUAUCCAGUGUUUUUCCUAGGAGUUAGCCCUAGAAUUGUUCACAGAACUUAGAUUAGUGGACCUCUGGAGACUGGGCGUGAACGUGACAUCUCACCCCUGGGUCAGAGGCCACUUCCUGCUCCAUCUUGUAAGUAAAAGCUCUCGCUAUCCUGCGAGUCUCCUGCGCCCACACUGGGGGGGUAGAAGUGGGGGAUGGGAGUGGGGGGGGGGAGCAGGGACUGGGGGGAGCUCAAUGACAACUAUUCCUCCCAUGAUUUCAUUGUAGGAACACUUUCCAUUCUUGUAUAAUAUUCAGAAACUAAGUCGGGAAACUCUAUUACAAAGCACAUAUUAAUUAAUAUUUCUAGCUUAUUAACUUAUUCAUGCAUCCAGUAAACAUCAUUGUAGUCUACCGAGGUAACUGUGCCUUGUGUUACCUGCUGGGGAGAUAAAGAUAACUAAAUAUAUUCCUUCUAUGACCUCAAACAAGAAGGAGAGACAGAAAUCUAGACCAAUAAUUACAGCCAUUACAGUAGUUUUAUGAGACAACAGAACAGGAAAAAUGUACCUUUGCCUAUAGGAGGGCAAGGAGGGCACCCAGAAAGUGGUGAUACUGGAAAUGAGCUGUUUGCUUUUUAUUUGGGGUUUUGUUUUUUUGUUUUUUGUUUUUGUUUUUUGGUUUUUGGUUUUUUUUUGGCCAUGCCCACGGCAUGCAGAAGUUCCCAGGCCAGGGACCAAAUCUGAUCCACAGCAGUAACCAGAGUCAAGCAGUAACGACAUCAGAUUCUUAACCCGCUGAGCCACCAGGGAAGUCCUGGAACCGAGUCUUUUGAGCUAACUAGGAACAUACCAGAAGAUGAAGGAGAGGAAGAGCAUUCCAGACAGAUGGAACAGCCAUGGAAAAGCUUUUUUUUCCCCUUGGGUAAGGGGGGACAUUUGCAAUGGUGUACUCCAAUUUGGGUUCUAGGAACUUAGGAUGAAAAGUAGAGUGAAAUGGGAUAGUACUGGCCCACAGUGUUCAGAGUUUGCAAUCAAGGAGCCCCCACAGGCAGCAUUCAAGUGUAAAGACAGAAUUAAAACCAGUGGAAAAUAACACCCACACACCAUCCUAAUGGGGACCAAGCUGGAAGGCAAAACCCGGCAGAAGUAAAAUGGGAACUGGCAGCAGCACAGGUUAGGAGUUGGGGGAGGAGGGAGAGCCUGGAGAGGAGCCUUUGAACAGAGCUACAGGGGAUUUUCAGAGGCAGCUGAAGGGCCGAUCUGGGUGGGGGAGGACAGUGUGGCAGGCACAGAACCUGUUCAGGCAGGCGUGGAAGCAAGACAAAGCCGAGCCCAGUCAGGGAGUUAAGAUCAGUCAUCAUGACUAAUGCCCAGACGAAAAACAAGGAGGGUAGACAAGAGGGAGUCAGGACCUCCAGGACGAGGAACCUUGAAAAGUACCCUCGGGGAACUUGCCAGCUGGGACUUCCCCCGGGGGGCCUGGGCAUCACUGGCAGUUAUCAAUGUGUUGUUCUGUGUGGGAUACAAACACUAUUGUAAUGAUUUUUAAAGCAAUCAGAAAAAUACACUGGGAGUUUGGGGUUAGUAGAUGCAGGCUAUUACAUUUAAAAUGAAUAAGCAAGGAGGUCCUACUGUACAGGCCAGGGAAUUAUAUCCAGCCUCUUGGGACAGGCCACGACGGAAGAUAGUACAAGGAAGGGAAUGUGUUUGUAUCUAUGACUGGGUCACUUUGCUAUACAGCAGAAAUUGGCACAACACUGUAAAUCAACUAUA